GGAGCUAGGACAACAGGCUUUCCUGGACUCCAUGCAUUAUAUGCUCCGGCCCUCCCUGCGUUUGAGGGCCACAGUGCUGGGAAUACUCACUGCUGACAUCACUGAACUUCCCAUCCCUCCUCUGCUUCAUGCUCCUCUUAAGAGCUGCCAGGGAGGGGCGAAAAUAAAGGUCACUCCAGCAGAUGCUGGCAAGGUGACUGAAGCAAAUGGUUCAAGAACUGGCGCUUGAGGACCGCGGAUGAGAUCGUGCUUUUCAGCAAACAGCUGGACUUCUAUUAAAAAGCCACGCUUACCCAGGUAGACAUUCCCCCAAAACAGGUCCACGUAUCCCACACAGAGCAAUAAACUGCAAAGGUGCACAACCACACGGCUGGCAUACAUCUGCACUACACGUGUGCCCACUCCCCAAACACCCAGUACGGAGCCACCACACGGAUCACCUGGAACUGCCCGGGGGCACACAGACAGACCCCCCACCACAAACCCGGUGCGCGC